GACGAACGCUGGCGGCGUGCUUAACACAUGCAAGUCGAACGGCGUGGCGAAGGGGUGAGUAACACGUGGGUGAUCUGCCCUGCACUCCGGUAUAAGCUUGGGAAACGAGGUCUAAUACAGGAAAGUGCAGGAUGAGCUCGCGGCGUAUCAGCUUGUUGGUGGGGUAAGGGCCUGCCAAGGCGUCCACCGGUAGCCGGCCUGAGAGGGUAUACGGCGACAAUGGGACUGAGAUACGGCCCAGAGGCCGACGGGAGGUAGAAGUGGGGAAUAUUGCACAAUUGGCGGAAGCCUGAUGCGGAGAGGACGAGUGGGGGAUGAAGGCCUUCGGGUUGUAAACUCCUUUCGACAGGGACGCGGUACCUGUAUAAGAAGCACCGGCUAACUACGUGCCAGCAGCCGCGGUAAUAC
rnacentral:rRNA from 1 species